GUGUGGGCCAACACUCUAACCACUGAACAACACUGGUCAGGGUAGAUUAUUUUCUUUAAAGCUUCAUGAUGCCUAGCAACUCAGGACUUUUUCUCUCCCCUCCCUGCCCUAACCCAGACCAGCCCCUUAUUGUGCCUGCUUUCAGGUUGCUGGAAGGUGCUUUACAAAUGAGGUGACAUAGGCUCAGAGCAGCCAGGAGAACAGGGCAGCAGACGCAGGACAGACAUCGAGGAAACUCGAGAAAUAACACAUUUGUCUGGUGAGUCAAGAAAAACUGGAAAUAAGCAAACAUUUAAAGAGAAUGACAACACAAGCUACACUCCAGGACAAUGAGCAAAACCACAGUCCAUUUCCUAUGCAAGAAUCUCGGUCCAACAAUGUAUUUCGCGGUUCUUCCUACCCCAGAGGAGGGCUCAUCCCAGCCAAUGACCUUGGCUUACAUAUCCAGGCCCCUGAUGUCCCAAAAGAAUCAAAGAAAGUGUGUCCAAGAUAGAACUUAUCCGUCUCCAGGUCUACAUCCCCUUCCUGGUGUAAGGACACUGCCAUCCGUCCGUUCUCACCAGAAACCGGAGAGUCACCUAGACUCCUCCUCCCACGUGGCCCAUGUCUGCGCUUCAGCCUAUGUUAUCUCUUACCCACGUUCAUCAGGAACCCUUCCUCUGGAUCUUCCCUUCUGUGGCCUGAGUUCACCCCUCUGUCAUCUCGCAGGCGACCGGUGUUGAUUUCCUUUACGAGGCUUCUCGCUUAGUCUUUCCCCAUGAAUUCCAACCACGAGCUGCCUCUGGACUGACCGCUCUACGAAAAGGCAAGUCUGACCAACUCUCUCCUCUACGCCGGUGCCUGGGCAGGCCGUGGGACGUCUGUGACACUCCUCCCUGGGCUCAUGUCUAAUGCACAUCCCCUCCUCACUCAAGGGGGUUAAGGGGAAGAAGGGCCGUCCCACCUUGGACUUACAUUGCUCCGCAUUUCCCCAGUCCGGCGGGAAAGCAGACUGUGUGGCUUUAUCAGCUCUGAGCGUGGGGAGAACACUUAGCUUCCGGUCCUCACCUUCGGCCAACUUUAUGGCCAGUGCAAUUCCUGGGCCUCGGGGACAGGACUGACGACUGCUUUCGCUUGCCGUCUCCCGUGGGCCCUGCUCCGCGUCUUCAGUGGGACAAAGCUCUACGGCUUGUCCCUUGCCUUUCUGGGAACCCGUCUCAUUCUGCCACUUUGCAUGGGAUGACCUAUCAACUCAUUGGAUGUCACCGAUGCAUCAGGGGCUGGCAAUUUUUUUCUGAAGAAAAGGCCAGGUAGUAAAUAUUUUUGGAUUUGCAGGCCAUCCAGUCUCUGUUGCAAACACUCACCCGUGCUGUCGUAGCAGGAAAGCGGCCACAGAGGGUGCAAAAAUGGGCGCGUGUGGCUGUGUAUUAAUAACACUCUAAUCCCACGCACAGACGGUGAGCCAUUUUGACCUACAGGCCCGAGCGUGCCGGCCCCUGAAUUGGGGAUACGUGUGUGCUGGAGAGGCUGAGAUGCUCAGGCCAGAAGUGGUUGGAAACCCUGCCCAGAACAUGGAUUUUGGAGCUCAAUCGCCUCGAUUCCAAUCCUGACAUUCGUGUUGCUAGCUAUGGAGCCUUUGGGUAACUUCGCACAGAUGAUCUUGCUUGAUCCUCACCACAAUCCUCAGAGGUAAACACCAUCUUCCUGGGAUGGAGGUGUGGGUGGAGAGGGGUCAAAGGCUCGGGAACUUGUAAGUCCUUUCAUCAGCGCACACCCGCCCACCUUUUAAGAGAAAUGCCCCUGGGCGCCCUCCGCUACAGCCCCGACUCCCAGCUCCUCUUCACACCGAACGCCCUGAUAAAGCUGUCUGCAUCCUCCAUCCACACUGUCAUCUCACACUCACUCAGCGGCUCUGCAAGCUGCCCGAGGCCCCAGCGUAUCAAAGUCACGAUCAGCUUCUGGGACAGAGACGCGCGGCCUGUUACAUAUUUAGCGACGACGGCUUUCACACCGCCAGCCCAAGUGCGAGGAAAGGAUCACCACGGUGCAGUCUCCUCCCGGGAGAGGUGCUGUUGGAGAUCACCCGGAUCAACUCCUGUGGCCACCCCAGCGCUGGCGGACACCAGCAUUAUAACCUCCGCCUCUCCCAGAUUCAACCACAAAAAGUGUUGGCUCCAUCGACCAAGACAGCAAAUGACUCAGCACUGGAAAUGGUCAUUUUCACCCACAUUGUGUCCCUAUUAUCUCAGCAAUGCCAAGCGCAUGGCCCUGGGACCUGCAGAUCUUUAGAAGCACACCCCACCGUUAGGCUGUGACCUGGAGUGAUGAGGUGGGAGGUGCACCAUGACACCCAAGCUCCAGGGUCCUGCUUCCGCAGGCCUUCCCUCCGGCUGGGACCCUCCUGGGGGCGGGAGUAUCUCCACUCCCACUGAGUACCCAGAGCCCAGGACAGUGCUGGGCUCACGGAUCUUGGGAAACUGUCGAAGGAAUGAUUUCCUGGGAGGGGACAGACACAGGGCAUUUAUCAAGUUUUAAAGAAAAUCUUGGCCCUGGCUGGUGUUGCUCAGUGGUGAGCAUCAGCCUGUGC